GGAACAGCUAAAAGAGGGGGAGAAGAAUCAGGAAGAAAUGGGGCUGUUGUGGAGUCAAGUGUUCGUGUCAAUCACUGGGCCACAUUUUGGCAGUGUUCGGAGAGGGAGAGAAACCAACAACUUUGAAGAGAUGCUGAUCCUAUUUGAACUUUCUUUAGAUAUGUUAACCAUCUGUGCUAAGCCUGCAGAUUGAGUUGACUGCAAUUGGGCAGGUAACAGACACUAAAGAAAUGUCAUGAUCCCAGGGUCCUGGAAUCGAGCCCCGCAUCAGACUCCCUGCUC